rnacentral:rRNA from 1 species
AGAGUUUGAUCCUGGCUCAGGACGAACGCUGGCGGCAGGCUUAACACAUGCAAGUCGAACGAGAAGUUACCUUUCGGGGUAAUGGAGAGUGGCGAACGGGUGAGUAACGCGUGGGGAUCUACCCUUUGGUGGGGGACAACCUUGGGAAACCGGGGCUAAUACCGCAUACGCCGGGCUCUUUUGGGGUUCGGGAAAGAUUUAUUGCCGAAGGAUGGACCCGCGUCCGAUUAGGUAGUUGGUGAGGUUACGGCUCACCAAGCCUGCGAUCGGUAGCUGGUCUGAGAGGACGAUCAGCCACACUGGGACUGAGACACGGCCCAGACUCCUACGGGAGGCAGCAGUGGGGAAUCUUGGACAAUGGGCGCAAGCCUGAUCCAGCCAUGCCGCGUGAGUGAAGAAGGCCUUCGGGUUGUAAAACUCUUUCGCCGGUGAAGAUAAUGACGGUAGCCGGAGAAGAAGCCCCGGCUAACUCCGUGCCAGCAGCCGCGGUAAUACGGAGGGGGCUAGCGUUGUUCGGAAUUACUGGGCGUAAA